CCCACCUACAAAGGUAUGUCUGUGGUUCGCUAUCUUUGGACAAGUAAGAAUUGGAGGCUAAGAAAGAUGGACUUGAAAAAGUCUGGGGCCAGCUUGCUCCCUGCAGGCUCAAGAUUAACCAGCCCACAUUA